CAAUAGCGUAUAUUUAAGUUGUUGCAGUUAAAAAGCUCGUAGUUGGAUUUCGGGUAGGAUUUGCCGGUCCGUCUUUGAGAUGUGUACUGGUAAGUCCUAUCUUCUUGUCGGGGACCAGCUCCUGGGCUUCACUGUCCGGGACUGGGAGCCGACGAAGUUACUUUGAGUAAAUUAGAGUGUUCAAAGCAAGCCUACGCUCUGAAUAUAUUAGCAUGGAAUAACACGAUAGGACUCUGGCUUAUCUUGUUGGUCUGUGAGACCAGAGUAAUGAUUAAGAGGGACAGUCGGGGACAUUCGUAUUUCAUUGUCAGAGGUGAAAUUCUUGGAUUUAUGAAAGACGAACAUCUGCGAAAGCAUUUGCCAAGGAUGUUUUCAUUGA
rnacentral:rRNA from 1 species